rnacentral:rRNA from 1 species
CUACGGGUGGCUCCAGUGGGGAAUAUUGCGCAAUGGGCGAAAGCCUGACGCAGCAACGCCGUGUGAGGGAUGAAGGCUUUCGGGUCGUAAACCUCUGUCAGAAGGGAAGAACGGGUAUUGGUCUAAUAGGCCUUUAUUUUGACGGUACCUUCAGAGGAAGCACCGGCUAACUCCGUGCCAGCAGCCGCGGUAAUACGGAGGGUGCAAGCGUUAUUCGGAAUUACUGGGCGUAAAGCGCACGUAGGCCGCUUUGUAAGUCAGGGGUGAAAUCCCACGGCUCAACCGUGGAACUGCCUUUGAAACUGCAGAGCUUGAAUCCUGGAGAGGGUGGCGGAAUUCCUGGUGUAGGAGUGAAAUCCGUAGAUAUCAGGAGGAACACCGGUGGCGAAGGCGGCCACCUGGACAGGUAUUGACGCUGAGGCACGAAAGCGUGGGGAGCAAAUAGGAUUAGAUACCCCAGUAGUC